ensembl:snoRNA snoZ196 Small nucleolar RNA Z196/R39/R59 family
CGCAGUGGGGUGAACUGUCUGCUUUUAACUUUGACUGGUUACAUGAUGAAUAAAACAAAAAAUCACCAUCUUUCGGCUGACAGUUGUG